ACAUAAAACCCAGACAAAACAACAAUCCAAAAAGACACUUGUAAAGGACCAAUAGAGAAAUUUUGCCUGGUGAACACAUCAAUAACUCAUACUUACACCAGCAUUCUGGACAGAAGCAUUUAUUAUACUGGGAUUUGCUUUGAAUACAGGCAGUUUAUAAUCAUAAAGGGCUUCCCUGAAGGUCCACCAUAGCAAAUGGAUGACUUUCUUUUGGCUUUAAUGGAGUCCAAUGAGCCCCAGGAGUAAGCACUUGGGCAUUUUGCUUUUAAAUUUCACAAUGCCUCUCUAAGUGAAAUUUAUUUCUAAGGAAUCUCUUUAAUAACUAUUUUACAGCUUACUUGAACUUUACUGUCAAGUGAAACUGUCAGUCAUUGUGCAGCCAAUACUGAUUAGGCUAAGUCAAGGAAAAUGUCUGAGGAAGGAACAUCAGGAUUUGUAUUAAAAAGCAGUCCAUUGGAAAUAAUACUAAAGCAUUUCUAGUUCCUCAAAUUCUUCCAGUCACUGGAUGAAGCCAUGAUACCUGGCUGCAUUCCAGGAAAAAUUAAAAUAGCUGUUUAAAUUUUCAGAUGGUUUAUGAAUCUUUUAAUUAUAUUUUAAUAUUUUCUGUGAAAAAAAAAGUAGAGCCUUUGGGGCAGCAGGGAAAAAAGUGGACAAGUUGGUGCAGUGAAAUUUUAUCCUAAGCUCAGGCAAGAGUCCUCCUGCAUUCCCCACCAGCCUGCCACCCCAGCCCUCCGUGAUACUUGCCUCUCAUGCUUUUACCACUGAAAAUGGAUCUAGGAUUCAGAUCCUGACAAAUCUCAUCUCAGUCUUUAGUGCUGGGUCACAGAGAGAGGGGACAGAGGCACCUUGGUGGCGCAAGGGCAGGAUCCUGCAGGUGCAGGCAGAUCUUUUCUUCCAGUUUCUCCAGUGGCUACCACUGACACAGGUGAACUGGUGACAGGGAGAGGGACUGCUGCUUCUUGGGGUGGAGGCUGCCUUGUGAGCACUGGGAGUUGGCGAUGUCAUUUGUAGAGUGCCUCUGUGAAAAGGAAAGUGGGUGAAUAAAAGUUGUGAUGGAGUGAGGAGGAUGCCUGCAUAGGUCAAAUACUCCCCAAGCACAGGAACACAAAGGUGGAUGCUGAGCCUGUAGAGGUUAGUGCUGAGAUCACAAACCAGCUUGUCAGCUGGUGCAACGCAGUCCUCAAAGAUGCGGUUUGUGGUUUUCUGUCCUUUGCAAACCAACAUGCAUAGGGAAAAACAAAAGAUGAUUUACUUUACUGUUGUUCCACAUGAAGAAGAAGGUUUCCACAUCCUUUUCAAGGAUGCGCCUUUCAGCAUCUUUGUGUUCCACAAAAUAAGGCCUGAAAAAUGCUUCUCUCCCUUUCAAAAUUAGAAUAUCUUUUUUUUUGCUUAGGUUUACGUAAAACUAUAAAGCCUUGACUUCUCUGAGAACCUGAGAUUCUCGCAGGCUCACUCCUUCCCCCACCAAAAAAUCUGAGCAACUGAGCAGGAACUCCUGCUGAACACUUUGGGGAAAGCUGCAGUACCGUGCCAAGAAAUCUCACACUCCAGUUUUCUAGUUUUCCGUUUAGUUCUGUGGCAAGCACAGGUAAAAUUAAAGGCCAGGAUGUGCAGGAUGUGCAAGUCUAAUUGGCACUGCCACCGUAGGUUCAGCACACUGUCAAUGUCAGUAACUCCACAUUUUGGGCUGCCAGAGAUGAAGUUGGUCAAAACAUCACUUUUUGAAAUUAAUAAUCAAAAUGCAGGGAGCAUAGAAAGGUAAAAUUAAGGAAAAAAAAAUAAUAAUAAAAAAGAAGUUUCAGGAUUUCCUUGUUUAAUAGAAAACAAAAAUGAAAGAAGGCACAAAUAAAUUUUUCUCUUUCAUAAGUUGUAUGUAAGCCACGUGCACACACUUCAGAAGUAUAAACCUUAUGUUUUCACAGGCCAAUCAAAAAAAAAAAAACACCAAAACCAUCUCAGUUUGUGAUGUUCCCUGCUGUGAUUUCUUCAAGUGAGGUGCCUAGUGCAGAAUUCGUGAUACCAAAUUGCGUGUACCCAUGUUGUGACCAUCAGCAGGGGGGUCUCACAGCAGGUCUCAAAGGAGCCAGCACAUUCACGUUCACAACACGUUCAGUAAUGGGGUGUAUUAGCUGGUUGCUGCUGAAGGCAGAAACAUGUUUCCAAACUCGUGUGUCUCUUAGAAGCAGGCUUUUUUUUUUUUUUUGUGAAAUUCAUUCCCAGAGCCUGAAGUCUCUUCUUGCACCUGCACACUCAAGUUGCACACUUCUGUAGAGAAAGCUGCUGGCUUCUCUUCCUAGGAAGGGAUGGAGGGGAAAGCUGGAGCUCCUCUGUGCCAGGGGCUGUGAGCUGGAGCUCUGGGACCAUGCAUGAUGCAAGCUCAAGUACUGGCUUGUCCUGAGUGGGCUCAAGCCAACAUUUUCUUGGAGACUGUCCUGUCUGCAGGAGGGGGAACACCAUCCCUCUUGCCAGACAAGAAGAGGUCACCGUGUGGGUUGAAAUACAAUGGCGAUGGGUGUGGGCUGGAAGGCCCAAGAGGACUCUGUGGUCCAAGAUGGAGGCUGAUUGUCUCUUUGUGGACUGCUCAAUGUGCAGGGCCUCUGCCUGGGCUGGAUGUGCAACGCAGGCUUCUGCAGGAACAUAGAAUCAUAGAAUGGUUUGGGUUGGAAGGGACCUUAAAGAUCACCUAGUUUCAACCCCCCUGCCAUGGGCAGGACACCUCCCACCAGACCAGGUUGUUCAAAGCCCCUUCCAGCCUGGCCUUGAACACUUCCAGGGAUGGGGCAGCCAUGACUUCCCUGGGCAAGCAUCACAUAGGGGACCCCUCCCCACGUGGGCGCAUCCCGCAUUGGUCCAGGUGUGUGGGUACAUCCCAGGCAGGCUCCCAGGACAUCUAUCUGAGCAGUCCCUGGGAGGUGUAGGAACAGGAGCCCUGGCUCUGUGACUCUCAAGUGGCCUCGGUGGAAGAUGGAUGUGUAGAAGUUCACCCAAGCUGAGAUGGUGGUGCUUCCAGGCACAUGUGCUGGUGCAUCUUCAGAAACUCACAGGGUAUUUCUGCCUUCCAGGAGCUGCAAUCCCAGAGGCAGACCAGAUCUCAUGUGAUGCCAGAUAAAAAGUAAAUGACUUCCUAAAAAAAUAAAAAGCCUGUAAAAAAAAAUGCACAUGCCAAUACUUGAAAUUCAAAUUCCAGUAGUAUAUUCUAUGUUCAUUCCUAUGUUAUUGUUACUAAAAUCAUUUUCUUCUUUUUUUUUUUACAGAAAUCGUAACGUUUCCUGCUUUAAGUUAUUGCAUGGUAUGAAAUUAAUUUCAAAUGAGUGGAUUUUUACUGUAUAUGUCCUGGGUUUGGCUUUUCCGUUAUUUUUCAUAAAUACAUUUUACAUCUAACUACCUCAGCUGCCUUUUGUUUUAUUUUUGGCGCAUAUGAAGUCAUGCACUUUCUAUAUCUGGGGAUUUGGGGGGAGGAAUUAUUUUCAUUUUGAAUAACCAGGUUCAAAGCCAUGUUGAUCAAUUUAUAGAGGAGUUCAAUUUAACAAGACACAAUUAUUGACAGUUGCGAAACAUACAUUUUAUUUUUAGGUUCUGUUGGGGUAUAGUUUAAAAAAAACACCAUAAGCUGCUUAUUAAUUUGCCUUAAAAAAUGUGUGCUCUUUCCUAUUCAAGUUGUGUUAUUUAACUCUUCUCUUGUACACAAUUUAUGUGACAAAGACUAGCGUAACAGUUGGCAGAUAAACGGCAAAUUAAACAGAAAGGACCAAUAGUUUCUCAGUUCUCUGUUGUAAACUGUUGCAUUAUACACUGAUUGUGCUAAAAUAAUUGUUACUGUGCUUAUACUCCUUAGUCACCGUUGCGGAAAUAAAGUGAUGGAAGAUCACAUUUGUGUCUAUGGAACAGUGUAGAUAUCCCCCCCAGUACAAGCACAGUGACUUGAGGUGAAUGAUAAUCAUUGCAGAACUUGUGCUUUGACUUGUAAACAUUGUAAAAAUGUAUUUGGUAUUUUAUUUGAAAUGAAGAAUCAAAAUAGUUAUUACAAAAAAAAAAAAAGGAAUCUUCCUGUAAAUAUAUAUAUUCUGAAUCCAUGUAUACAAACAUUCCUUUAGAGUUCAGAUUGUGAAGAGUGUCUUUAUUGGCUAGAGACCGCUGCCUCCCGCGGCAGAGGUUACAUGUGCUAUAGUAAAGAACACAGUGUGUGAAGUAUUUGAUGUACUGCAGUACCAUAGUUCUUUUGGUCUGUUAAGUAAGUUGCAAUUUGUGAUGAAAUGAAGUUGAAAGUAGUGCUUCAUACUAACAAAUUUCCUUGGUUACAACUUGAUUUUUCUUGUAAAACUUAAAAGGAAAACUUGAAAAUUUUAUAUAUUUGGAUUUUGUAGAUUUUUUUUAUUUUAUUGCAACACAAGGUACCAAAAUCAUUAAAUAAAGUACACUGUGGUCAUUUUA